GAGGGUAUAAAGAGUACUUGCAGGACAAUGUCAUCUGAAAUGUAGACAUGUACAGAAAAAAAUAUUUAAAGGGAAUGUGGUAAAAUGUUGAUAGGUAAUUAUAUUUAUUAUAUUUUUCUUUGUCUUUUCUUAUAUUUUUCAAGUUUUCUGCACUGAACAUGAGGUUCCUUUUUGUUUUUUGUUGUUGUUGUUGUUGUUUUGUUUUUUGUUUUGUUUUACAGAACUAAGGGGUACUAAUGUCAUUAUCAGGUUAUUUCUACUUUAACAAACAGCCCUGUCUAAGGAUUGGUUAACCUUAUGUGGCCAUUCCCUUUAGCACCCUUUGCAAAGAUUCCAAAAAUGUCAGCCAUAAUUUAAGCAAACAGCACUCUCUGUGGCCCACUGAGAGGCCUAAUUUAGGCUUUGUGAAAUGGCCCCUGUAAUGGUGUCCCCAUCUGGUAUGUGUGCACAUGUACAUAUACAUGCAUACACACACAUAUGUAUCACAUACACACACACAUAAAAUGACAAAUGCUAUCUUGAUUCUUCCAACAAGCUUUUAGAUUUUCAGCAACUUAGCAGAAAGAAGCAUUGAAAUAUGUUAAUACUUACUGUCUCCAAGAUCAACACUAAAUGAGAAUAAAAUAUAAGACUACACAGACCAGAGGCAAAAAUAGUAGUCUUGGCCAAAUUUAGCAAAGUUUGACUUAUGGGUAUGGAACUUUAAAAUGAGCAAUUUUAAUAUGCAUGUGACUAAUCCCCAGAGUGAAUGCCACUACUGCUCCAGCCAGCUUGGGAUCCUCUGUACUUUCCUUGGCUUUCACGGCUCUCUUGACCAAAAUAGUCUCCUUCUUGUUUCUCUUUACUGUGAGAGCCCACCCAUUUUUUAAGGUUGCCAAAACAACCCUGAGGGUAUCAACUGGAAGAGUCCCAUGUAGAAACAGAUGGGACACUUCAUGGUGAACUUUGAGGGAAACUUAAUAAAGCACUUUUUACCAAGUUGUAGGCAAGUUCAGGGACACUAACAAGAUAUAGUGUAGUAUCCCAAGACUAGUAACAGGAGGAGACUUAUGGAGCAGGUCCAGGGUUUGUGGGACCUGAUUGUGUAUUCAUUUACUCAUAUUACGUUUCUGUUUCAGAAAAAAGAUACAAAAUUCCAAAUACAAAAUUAAUAAUGCAAAUGAAUGUUUUCAAAUGAGAAAAUACAUUACAAUAACAUACACUUAGAUGAAACUACCACAAAUACUAUAAAAUCUAAAAACAUAUGUAGACAUGUUAAUUGCCUAAUGAAGUACUAUAACACUUUUGCCCUACAUUUUUGGCUACAUACUCUGAUUACCUCCUCAAAUGACAGUGGUUUGCUUCAUAAGUUGUUGUUGGUAAUGUCAUGCAUAUUUUAAAAAUUGACAUCAAAAUUGGGAAAACUUUGAGUUUCUUUUUAUGAUUAACUUUAAUUUUAUAACUUGUUUUAGGUAAUGUCACAUAAAUGUUCAGGAUUAUUUUGAAAGCUGGGAAAAUAUUUACCACUUUUGUUUUCACAUGUGUCCUAUAAAGAUUUGGAAGAAAUUUUCACAGAUUAGCUUCUGGCUCUGCAUAUUUCAAAUGUUACUUCUCCACUAGGACCCAGGUGCUUCUGGGUCAGGCUCCGAAGGACAUAUGGCAAUUCAGCCUCUGGUGAUGCAUUUCUGUAUGGUGAUGCCAGAUGAACUAGUAGAGUAGAUCAUUAAAGUGACUGCAAAUCAUGUAAAAUUAUAUGCCAGGUUGAGAUUUAGUAUCUAAGUAACUAAGUAUAUCCAAUGCAAGUUCCUCUGAGUCAGAUCCUCCAAUUUCCCAUUGGAGUAAUACUCCAUAUUAUCAGAUACAAAGGGAAAUAUGACAAAAAAAAGUGAGAGUAGAAGGAGACAUCAGUCUUAUUCAAUAUGAAUUGUAAUAUCUUUGUUAGUUUUCUGUCGCUGCCUAACAAAUUACCACCAACUUGGAAGCUUAAAACAAUAUCUAUUUAUUAGCUCACAGUUCUGUAAAUCAGAAACCCAGUACCAUGUGGCUGGGUUCUCUGCUUAGGGCAUGAGAAGACUGAACUCACAAUGUCAGGCUGAGUCCUCACCUAGAUGCUCUAGGAGAAAUCUGCUUUUGAGUUAUUCAGUUUGUUGGCAGAAUGUAGUUCCUUGCAGCUAUAGGACUAAGGGCUUCCUUUCCUUGAUGGCUGUCAACUUGGAGCCUCUGUUACCUUUUUAAAGUUGCUUGCAUUAUUUCUCAACACUCUCCAUCUCCAAGCUAGCUAUGGAACAUCCAGUCUUGCUCAUGCUUCAGACUCCUCUGACCUUCUCUUCUGCCCCCAGUUGGAGGAAGCUCUCCACUUCUAAGAGCUCAUAUGAUUAGAUAAGCCUACCGAGAUAAUCUCCCUAUCUUAAAAUAAACUGUGCCAUAUAACAUAGCAUCAUCAUAUCUUAUAAUAGUCACAGGUCCUGGGAAAUCGGGCAGGAAAUCUUGGGGAUCACUUUUAGAAUCCUGCCUACUACAAGACUUAAUUUUAGCAAAGUAUCCAAGCAACAUAUGACCAUAUCAGCACAUUGCUAGGGUCCCUUCCAGGGUUUGGAAGGCAUCUGUGCAAUGAAGGAUAUGGAAGUUCAAGGCUAAGUCCAUGUCCGAGUUUUGAUAGCUCUACCCAUUCAGGGGUAAGAAGGGAGAGCAGUUAUUGGAACCCCCAAAUAUACCAGUAUGGAGCUGUGCUGUAGUGAGGGAUGCAGCCAAUCUGUAGUGACCUAGCAUGAAGGGAGUCACAGGAAUAAAUAUUCCAGUCUCACUCUCCUGGGAUCUCCUCUUGACACCUUCCAUUUGCCAAACUCACUGUAAGCCAGAAAACAAGGAGCUCAUUGACAUGGCCCAGGCAUUACAGGUUCCCUGUCCACAUAGCAGAGUGGAGAAGCCAGAAAAUCAACCUGAAGAGGAAGGAAUCAAGCAGAGGGCACAGCACAUGUAAAGGUCCUGAAGGGAGAAUGAGCUUGAAUGUGUGAGGAGCAGCCACUGACCGGUUGAUUUUCCUUGGGCAAGUUAUUAUGUUUCUCUGGGCCUCGUUUUUCUUAUUCCCAAAGCAGUUGUCAAGGUGUAAAGUUGUGCUCAGGCAGGGCAUCUGAAUUUCUCUCCCUGUCGUUCAUCCAACAGUCUGGAUUUGCUUCCUGAAUAUUUGCUGUCUUAAACAGUCUCCCUCCAGAUGCAGGGCAUUAAUUCCAAAUUGGCUCCCCAUACUUUCCCGUCAGAGGUUGUCAUUUGCGGAGCGGGUGAUGGAAGGACUGAGUGAUGGAGGGCAGUCCCUUCAGAGCCCAUCAGCUUUAUUCUCAAAGCAGACACUGAAAAAUGUGAGGCUGCUGCCAAGCCACAGGGCUCAGGGAGUAUCCGCUGUCUCCACACAAAGGCUGAAAUAAUGAGAAUCCUCUGGUCGGUAUCAUGUAGCAGUC
rnacentral:lncRNA from 10 species